rnacentral:rRNA from 1 species
AACGAACGUUAGCGGCGCGCCUAACACAUGCAAGUCGAACGCGACAGGGGCAACUCUGUUGAGUGGCGCACGGGUGAGUAACACGUAGGUAAUCUCCCCUCGAGUGGUGGAUAACUUUCCGAAAGGAGAGCUAAUACAGCAUGAGACCGCGGCUUCGAAAGGAGCUGAGGUCAAAGCGGAGGAUCGCAAGACUUCGCGCUUGAGGAUGAGCCUGCGGCCCAUCAGGUAGUUGGCGGGGUAAUGGCCCACCACGCCUUAGACGGGUAGCUGGUCUGAGAGGAGGAUCAGCCACACUGGAACUGAGACACGGUCCAGACUCCCACGGGAGGCAGCAGUGGGGAAUCUUGCGCAAUGGACGAAAGUCUGACGCAGCGACGCCGCGUGGGUGAUGAAGGCCUUCGGGUUGUAAAGCCCUGUGGGGAGGGACGAAUAAGUUGCGGUUAAUACCCGCAGCGAUGACGGUACCUCCUUAGCAAGCACCGGCUAACUCUGUGCCAGCCGCCGCCGUAACAC